rnacentral:lncRNA from 1 species
UCAUACAUGGAGCAAAAUACCAAGUUAUUACAACUCACGGACACAGGUCCACAAUCAUCAUUACACCAACGGAAGCAAAUUAUGCCCGAGUGCGGACAAGUUACAAAUAUUGCCUAAGAGGCUGAAACUGAAAAGGAGAGCCGCCACAAGUUCUCAGAACCUUGCUCUGGAAUCUUCUGGCUAAACAUCGAAGCUGUAGUCGUCGAACUCCACGAAGUAACCACUCACCUGUUCCUCCGGAAACUCUGGGGAAAACAACGUUGCAAAGCAACUGAGUACAAAGUACUCGCAAGACUUACGGGAGAUCUAUACUAGACAUGCAACAAGUCUCAAGGAUGGGUAAAAGGUGGUUAUGCAGCAGCGAUAUAUAUCUGGAGAGACACACUAAUGACAUCGUCUAGAUAGAAGAUAAGGAGCGUCUACCAAGUGAGGUGAUUAACCUAUUUACUAAACACCAAACAACACAAUCCUCAUAUCACCCCCUCAACACCCUGUGAAGAAGCAAUCCAAAGGACACUCACACUCAAGUAGUUUAAGCAUAUCCAUGAUUAAGGCUAAUUACUACUCAAGUUUUAAGAGAUUAAGUUAAUUAACUGGUAUGAGUUCUCUAUGAUCAAGUAAUGACCAACCAAGUCGU